rnacentral:tRNA from 1 species
GCCUUCGUGGUGUAGUGGUCAGCACGCUGGGCGCGUAUUCCAGAGGUCUGUGGUUCGAGUCCCGGCGAGGGCA